CCUACGGGAGGCAGCAGUGAGGAAUAUUGGUCAAUGGACGAGAGUCUGAACCAGCCAAGUAGCGUGAAGGAUGACUGCCCUAUGGGUUGUAAACUUCUUUUAUAUGGGAAUAAAAUGUUCCACGUGUGGGAUUUUGUAUGUACCAUAUGAAUAAGGAUCGGCUAACUCCGUGCCAGCAGCCGCGGUAAUACGGAGGAUCCGAGCGUUAUCCGGAUUUAUUGGGUGUAAAGGGAGCGUAGGUGGAUUGUUAAGUCAGUUGUGAAAGUUUGCGGCUCAACCGUAAAAUUGCAGUUGAAACUGGCAGUCUUGAGUACAGUAGAGGUGGGCGGAAUGCGUGGUGUAGCGGUGAAAUGCUUAGAUAUCACGAAGAACUCCGAUUGCGAAGGCAGUUCACUGGACUGCAACUGACACUGAGGCUCGAAAGUGUGGGUAUCAAACAGGAUUAGAUACCCGAGUAGUC
rnacentral:rRNA from 1 species